rnacentral:misc_RNA from 1 species
GAUGAAGAACGCAGCGAAAUGCGAUAAGUAAUGUGAAUUGCAGAAUUCAGUGAAUCAUCGAAUCUUUGAACGCACAUUGCGCCCCCUGGUAUUCCGGGGGGCAUGCCUGUCCGAGCGUCAUUACAACCCUCAAGCUCAGCUUGGUGUUGGGCCCCGCCGCCCCGGCGGGCCCUAAAGUCAGUGGCGGUGCCGUCCGGCUCCGAGCGUAGUAAUUCUUCUCGCUCUGGAGGUCCGGUCGUGUGCUCGCCAGCAACCCUCAAUUUUUUUCAGGUUGACCUCGGAUCAGGUAGGGAUACCCGCUGAACUUAAGCAUAUCAAUAAGCGGAGGA